rnacentral:rRNA from 1 species
ACUCAAAGGAAUUGACGGGGGCCCGCACAAGCGGUGGAGCAUGUGGUUUAAUUCGAUGCAACGCGAAGAACCUUACCUACUCUUGACAUCCACAGAAUUUAGCAGAGAUGCUUUAGUGCCUUCGGGAACUGUGAGACAGGUGCUGCAUGGCUGUCGUCAGCUCGUGUUGUGAAAUGUUGGGUUAAGUCCCGCAACGAGCGCAACCCUUAUCCUUUGUUGCCAGCACGUAAUGGUGGGAACUCAAAGGAGACUGCCGGUGAUAAACCGGAGGAAGGUGGGGAUGACGUCAAGUCAUCAUGGCCCUUACGAGUAGGGCUACACACGUGCUACAAUGGCGCAUACAAAGUGAAGCGAGCUCGCGAGAGUAAGCGGACCACAUAAAGUGCGUCGUAGUCCGGAUCGGAGUCUGCAACUCGACUCCGUGAAGUCGGAAUCGCUAGUAAUCGUAGAUCAGAAUGCUACGGUGAAUACGUUCCCGGGCCUUGUACACACCGCCCGU